rnacentral:rRNA from 1 species
GUUAGGAAUAUUGGACAAUGGGCGCAAGCCUGAUCCAGCCAUGCCGCGUGGAGGAAGACUGCCCUCUGGGUUGUAAACUCCUUUUAUAUGGGAAGAACCGUCCUCAUUAAUGAGUGACCUGACGGUACCAUAGGAAUAAGCACCGGCUAACUCCGUGCCAGCAGCCGCGGUAAUACGGAGGGUGCAAGCGUUAUCCGGAUUCACUGGGUUUAAAGGGUGCGUAGGCGGAUAAAUAAGUCAGUGGUGAAAUCAACGGGCUCAACCUGUUAACUGCCAUUGAUACUGUGUAUCUUGAAUAUGAGAGAGGUAGGCGGAAUGUUGCAUGUAGCGGUGAAAUGCUUAGAUAUGCUACGGAACACCGAUUGCGAAGGCAGCUUACUAUUUCGUAAUUGACGCUGAGGCACGAAAGCGUGGGUAGCGAACAGGAUUAGAUACCCCUGUAGUCC